rnacentral:lncRNA from 1 species
CAUGGAGUUUUUUCUUAAGAUUUCCAAAUUGAUGAAACAAAAUAUUCUGUUCGAGUACAGGACAAAAAAUAUUCUGAAUCCAGAUUCCACCCAUACCUUAUAGUGUUAGACUUAAUUUCUUAAAAAAAAUAAUUUGAUUGAUAUCGUUGAAAAAUUAAAUAAAAUUGUUUGCACUUCACUGACUCAAGCAAAAACCAUGACCCUCCUUGAAGUUAAAUUGUUGCUCCCUGACAGUCUACGGUUUAUUUUAAAAUUAUAUUUAAUAUCACUAUGCAAAUUUUAUCAAUGUCAAUUUUUGUAGAGUCUUACAUGAAGAACUACAUGUACCCCUCAGCAAGGACAUCAGAUAUUGAAGAAUUGAUUGGGGAAACCCUAAAACAUACACCCCGAAACCAGGCGGAACACGCUAUAAGGUAAGAAUACCCUUAUUUCCCCGUAUAGUGCAACCUAUAUUGGAAUAUUUCCCAAAAUUAUUAUUGUUUGUAUUCUAUGUUGUUUUGUUUUUUUAAUUCAGUACGAAAUUGUUAUUAGGCCUAAAAUUUUGUCUUGUUCUGUACACACAACAAUGCUGCAAUGCUUUAGACAACAUUGAUCUAGAGACUUCAUGAUUUACAUGUAUAAAGCUUUUAAAUGUAAAAAAAAAAUCCCUACCUACCUACCCACCUGCUGAUAGUGUGGGGUGGCAAUGCCAAACAAACAAUUUUUUAAGGGUGGCCUUAUAGAUAUGCAUUUGUAACUAACAUUGUGAAGAUCAAGAUACUCUUUUGGGACAAUAAAUUAAGGGUAACAUUAAAUUUAACUGAAUAUAUAAUUAUGUGGUUUAUGUGUUUUUCAAGGAGAUUUGGAAAGCCACGUCUUACACACAGCUACAUAGAUCUAGUAUUUAUUUGCAAUAAUGUUUGACCUAGAAUAAUUACAAUUUAACUUUUUGUACAAAUAAGUUUUUGUAUUGUCAUUGCAGGAACCAACUGUUAAGAGGAUAAUUGCAGCAGCUCCGGAAAUACCACUACCAGGGACCCAGGAGAACA